rnacentral:rRNA from 1 species
GUCCACGCUGUAAACGUUGGGCACUAGGUGUGGGAGGUAUUGACCCCUUCCGUGCCGUAGCUAACGCGCUAAGUGCCCCGCCUGGGGAGUACGGCCGCAAGGCUAAAACUCAAAGGAAUUGACGGGGGCCCGCACAAGCAGCGGAGCGUGUGGUUCAAUUCGAUGGUACGCGAAGAACCUUACCAGGGUUUGACAUGCUGGUGGUACCGACCUGAAAGGGAAGGGACCCUUCGGGGAGCCAGCACAGGUGUUGCAUGGCUGUCGU